rnacentral:rRNA from 1 species
UACGAAGGGGGCGAGCGUUGUUCGGAAUUACUGGGCGUAAAGGGCGCGCAGGCGGCUCUGAAAGUCAGAUGUGAAAGCCCCGGGCUCAACCCGGGAAGUGCACUCGAUACUGCCACGCUAGAGUAUCGGAGAGGUUGGUGGAAUUCUCGGUGUAGAGGUGAAAUUCGUAGAUAUCGAGAGGAACACCGGUGGCGAAGGCGGCCAACUGGACGAAUACUGACGCUGAGACUCGAAAGCGUGGGGAGCAAACAGG